UACGAAGGUGGCAAGCGUUGUUCGGAUUUACUGGGCGUACAGGGAGCGUAGGCGGUUGGAUAAGCCCUCCGUGAAAUCUCCAGGCUUAACCUGGAAAGUGCAGAGGGGACUGUUCAGCUAGAGGAUGGGAGAGGAGCGCGGAAUUCCCGGUGUAGCGGUGAAAUGCGCAGAUAUCGGGAGGAACACCAGUGGCGAAGGCGGAACUCUGGGCCGGAACUGACGCUGAGGAGCGAAAGCGUGGGGAGCGAACAGG
rnacentral:rRNA from 1 species